CUUACCCCGGCCCUUUCCUCUCCCCAGUACCCUGCCUCCUCCAGCUAGGAAGUAGCUAUUUGGGGCAGGGAAAUGAGAUGGCAGGACUGUCCCUCUGAGAUCAACUCAGCGCUCUGUGGCUCCCUGGAUAAUGGUUCUGUGUGUCCAGCCCAUCCUCCGGUGAGUUUCAGGCAGAAGGAGGGAAGGGGGGAGAGGAUGGGUCGUGGUGGUUAGUUAUCCUGGUAUGAGGCCGGACUGGCCCAGUGGGGGACAGACACCGACAGGAGACCAAGUCCACAGAGGGAGUCACUCCUGGACGUGGUGAGCUCCCCGUCAGAGAAGGUAUGCAAGCAGAGACGGAUGUGAGUGUGGGGAUGGAAGUGGACUGUUACUGUUUUCAAAUGAGUCUCCUCACAGCUCUGAUUCCUCUCCCUGCCCACCACCCACCAGGCCUGGGAGCUGCCCUGCUCACAGCCAAGCUCCAGGAAGGAACCAGAGAUGAAGGGAGUCCUCUGGACACUGUGGAGCCUGGAGCCAGCGGCCACAAGACCAGUGCAAGAAACACUGGAGCAGGUUACCGGUUCCUCCCCCAGGGGAUCUUCCCAACCCAGGGCCCAAACCCGCAUCUCUUCCAUCUCCUGCACUGCCAGGCAGAUGAAAGCCAGAGAGUAUACAUGGCUACCAGUGGGCGCUGGGGGCAGAUUGUUCUCGUCCUUCCAGAGACAGAGCAAGCCGGGCUAGUCCCUUUCUGCAGCGCAUCGAGCCGAAAGCUAAGAAUUCGUUACUUCUCAGGCCUGGGAGGUGAUGUCAGUCAAAGCACCAGCAGCCCUGAGCCAGGCAUCUGCCAUGAGGUCUUGUCCACUCCCAGCAAAGUCCCAUCAGGGCUGCCUCGGUGUUAGGAAGUCCUGGCGCCUUGCUCGUGCCAGCAGGAGGACCAAGGCUUCUCCUUGAGCCCAAUUAAAUGUCAGCAGGAUCAAUCUUCUUUUCUAAUUAUGUUUUUGUGUCAUAUCCCCUGGAGGAGGGCAUGGCAACCCACUCCAGUACUCUUGCUUGGAGAAUCCCCAUGGACAGAGGAGCUGGUGGGCUACAGUCCAUGGGGUCCCAAAGAGUUGGGCAUGACUGAGCAACUGAGCACAAGCACAAUCGCUGUGUGCCAAGCACUGCUUAAGGUGAUUAGACUGUACAUCAGUUUCACUGGACUGUACAUCAGACACAUUAGACCGUAUAUGGUCUGUAUGGUACAGUCUAAUGUUAGACUGCACAUCAGUUAUCG
ensembl:lncRNA